CGGCGUGCCUAACACAUGCAAGUCGAGCGGAGAUAGUCUGAAGCCUAGCGAUGACUAUCGUUAGCGGCGGAUGGGUGAGUAACACGUGGGUAACCUGCCCUGUACUGGGGAAUAACAGCUGGAAACGGCUGUUAAUGCCGCAUAUGCGCACGGAGCCGCAUGGCUCUGGGGCGGAAAGAUUUAUCGGUACAGGAUGGGCCCGCGUCGGAUUAACUGUUGCGGGGUAACGGCCCACCAAGGUGAUGAUCCGUAGCCGACCUGAGAGGGUGACCGGCCGCAUUGGGACUGAGACACGGCCCAAACUCCUACGGGAGGCAGCAGUGGGGGAUAUUGCACAAUGGGGGAAACCCUGAAUGCAGCGACGCCGCGUGAAGGAUGACGUAUUUCGGUAUGUAAACUUCUAUCAGCGGGGAAGAAGAUGACGGUACCCGACUAAGAAGCCCCGGCUAACUACGUGCCAGCAGCGGC
rnacentral:rRNA from 1 species